rnacentral:tRNA from 1 species
AUUUAUUUAAUAUAAUAAGUAUAAUUGAUUUCCAAUCAAAAAGUCUAAAAACUUAGAAUAAAUA